rnacentral:rRNA from 1 species
UACGGGGGGGGCAAGCGUUGUUCGGAAUUACUGGGCGUAAAGGGCGCGUAGGCGGCCUGCUAAGUCGGACGUGAAAUCCCUCGGCUCAACCGAGGAACUGCGUCCGAUACUGGUGGGCUUGAAUCCGGGAGAGGGAUGUGGAAUUCCAGGUGUAGCGGUGAAAUGCGUAGAUAUCUGGAGGAACACCGGUGGCGAAGGCGGCAUCCUGGACCGGUACUGACGCUGAGGUGCGAAAGCGUGGGGAGCAAACAGG